AGGACUUUUUGUGCUGAGAUUGCACACAACUUUUUUUAUAAUAAAGAGGAAGGAUAUUGUUGAGCGCGCAUAUCAGUCGUAACUUGUAUGUCUGUAUUUCCAACAAGACAGCUAGGUUGAUCUUGCAUCAAAUAUCUUGGUAGACUUUCCUGACACAGUUGGGAGUUUACGGUAUCUUAAGGCUCUGCAUCUGAGUAAUAAUGGCCUCAAAUCCCUUCCUUCGACGUUAUUCAAAAUGUGCACCCAUCUCUCGACUCUUGCUCUUCAUAAUACAGAAAUCACAAUUGAUAUUCUCAGUCAGUUUGAAGGGUGGGAAAGUUUUGAUGAGCGUCGUAGAUUAAAGCAUCAAAAGCAACUGGAUUUCUGAGUUGGAAGUUCUGGUGUGUUUGAUGAAGGUGCUGAUAAAUAUUAAAAAGGUACUCGAUCUCUCAAG